rnacentral:rRNA from 1 species
AACGAACGCUGACGGCGUGCUUUAGACAUGCAAGUCGAACGAGAAAGCCCUUCGGGGUUAGUAAAGUGGCGAACGGGUGAGUAACACGUGGGCAAUCUGCCCUUCGUUGGGGGACAACCGGGGGAAACCCCGGCUAAUACCCCGUAAGCUUGUCGGGUCGCAUGGCCUGACAAGGAGAGGUAGCUUCGGCCAUCCGGCGAAGGAGGAGCCCGCGGUACAUUAGCUAGUUGGUGAGGUAAAGGCCCACCAAGGCGACGAUGUAUAGCUGGUCUGAGAGAAUGGUGAGCCACACUGGGACUGAGAAACGGCCCAGACUCCUGCGGGAGGCAGCAUUCGGGAAUCUUGCACAAUGGGCGAAAGCCUGAUGCAGCAACGCCGUGUGAGCGACGAAGGCCCUAGGGUCGUAAAGCUCUGUUGUUAGGGACGAAGGGCGAAGGGUUAAUAGCCCUUAGCCUGACGGUACCUUUCGAGGAAGCCCCGGCUAACUACGUGCCAGCCGCCGCAGUAACAC